rnacentral:rRNA from 1 species
ACGGGACCCGCACAAGCGGUGGAUGAUGUGGUUUAAUUCGAUGCAACGCGAAAACCUUACCCACCUUUGACAUGUACGGAACCUUUAGAGAUAGAGGGGUGCUCGAAAGAGAGCCGUAACACAGGUGCUGCAUGGCUGUCGUCAGCUCGUGUCGUGAGAUGUUGGGUUAAGUCCCGCAACGAGCGCAACCCUUGUCAUUAGUUGCUACAUUCAGUUGGGCGCUCUAAUGAGACUGCCGGUGACAAGCCGGAGGAAGGUGGGGAUGACGUCAAGUCCUCAUGGCCCUUAUAGGUGGGGCUACACACGUCAUACAAUGGCUGGUACAAAGGGUUGCCAACCCGCGAGGGGGAGCCAAUCCCAUAAAGCCAGUCGUAGUCCGGAUCGUAGUCUGCAACUCGACUACGUGAAGUCGGAAUCGCUAGUAAUCGUGGAUCAGAAUGUCACGGUGAAUACGUUCCCGGGUCUU